AAACCCAUCUAUAAUCCAGGACAAAUGGUGAACGUCAGGGUUGUGACCAUGGAUGCUAAAUUUGUUCCUCUUGAUCAAAUGUACAGUCUAGUGGUGGUGGAGGUGAGAAC